rnacentral:rRNA from 1 species
GUGAACGUUACAAACUGUUGCCUCGGCGGGAUCUCUGCCCCGGGUGCGUCGCAGCCCCGGACCAAGGCGCCCGCCGGAGGACCAACCAAAACUCUUAUUGUAUACCCCCUCGCGGGUUUUUUACUAUCUGAGCCAUCUCGGCGCCCCUCGUGGGCGUUUCGAAAAUGAAUCAAAACUUUCAACAACGGAUCUCUUGGUUCUGGCAUCGAUGAAGAACGCAGCGAAAUGCGAUAAGUAAUGUGAAUUGCAGAAUUCAGUGAAUCAUCGAAUCUUUGAACGCACAUUGCGCCCGCCAGUAUUCUGGCGGGCAUGCCUGUCCGAGCGUCAUUUCAACCCUCGAACCCCUCCGGGGGGUCGGCGUUGGGGAUCGGCCCUUUACGGGGCCGGCCCCGAAAUACAGUGGCGGUCUCGCCGCAGCCUCUCCUGCGCAGUAGUUUGCACACUCGCAUCGGGAGCGCGGCGCGUCCACAGCCGUUAAACACCCCAAACUUCUGAAAUGUUGACCUCGGAUCAGGUAGGAAUACCCGCUGAACUUAAGCAUAUCAAUAAGCGGA